GGCAGCGGGGUUGCACCUGGCGCGCGGCUGCCGCUCCUCUGCCCGCCUCCCAGGCCCCGCAGCCCCGCGCCGCCUCCUGGACCCGGACCCGGACCCGGUCCCGGACCCUCCGUGGGAUCCCAGCUCCUCCUCGAGCCGCCACGGGCCGCCAUGGCCUCUCUGGGGGACCUGGUGCGCGCCUGGCACCUGGGCGCGCAGGCCGUAGAUCGCGGGGACUGGGCCCGCGCCUUGCACCUGUUCUCGGGCGUCCCGGCGCCGCCCGCCAGGCUGUGCUUCAACGCGGGCUGCGUGCACCUGCUGGCCGGGGACGCCGAGGCCGCGCUGCGGGCAUUUGACCAAGCCGUGACCAAGGACACCUGCAUGGCGGUUGGCUUCUUCCAGCGAGGAGUGGCCAACUUCCAGCUGGCGAGGUUCCAGGAGGCUCUGUCUGACUUCCGGCUGGCCCUGGCACAGCUGAGGGGCCACCCUGCCAUCGACUACACCCAGCUGGGCCUGCGGUUCAAGCUGCAAGCCUGGGAGGUGCUAUACAAUGUGGCGUCGGCACAGUGCCAGCUGGGGCUCUGGACAGAGGCGGCCGGCAGCCUAAGGGAGGCCAUGUCCAAGUGGCCGGAGGGGUCCCUGAAUGGCCUGGACUCAGCCCUAGACCAACUGCAGAGACGGGGCUCGCUGCCGCCACGGCAGGUUCCCAGGGGCGAGGUCUUCCGGCCCCACCGGCGACAUCUGGAGCACCUGGAGCCCGUGGAUUUCCUGGGCAAGGCCAAGGUGGUGGCCUCUGCCAUCCCCGAUGACCAGCGGUGGGGUAUCCGCCCUCAGCAGCCACAGGUGGGUUUGCGGCCCCUCAGGCCCCGCCUGGCCUCACCCAGCUUUGUGGGAAAGAAAACCCUGUACAAGCUUGGAGCCCUCCUGGGGCCGCAAAGUUCCUCUGACGGGAGUGUGGGGCAGCCGUCCCGUCCCUGUGUGAGACCUGGGGAGGCCACUCUUCAAAGUUCAGCCCCCGACCCUUUACCAGAGCGAGGCUGUUGCUUUGUAUCCACAGGGACUGGGAGCGAACCUCGAUGCCAGGUAGGAGGGGCCGGCUGGGCCCUGCGAGCACGUCCCUUUCCUGCGGGCAGAGGCCCUCCCCACGGGGCCAUUCGGGCCGGGCACAGGAGGGCACUCAGAUGGGCCGGGCCUGAGAGCCUCCCUCCUCUUCCCAGGUCCCCAGUCAUGGACUCCCCAAGAGCUGGCACCCACCAGGGCCCCCUCGAUGCAGAGACGGAGGUCGGUGCUGACCGCUGCACGUCGACCGCCUACCAGGAGCAGAGGCCCCAGGUGGAGCAAGUUGGCAAACAGGCUCCUCUCCCCCCAGGACCGCCAGCAACGGGGGCGCCUGGCCCCGACCCCUGUGAGGACCCCGCGGGUGCUGGGGGAGCAGGUGCGGGGGGCUCCGAGCCCCUGGUGACUGUCACCGUGCAGUGCACCUUCACCGUGGCCCUGAGGGCGAGAAGAGGAGCCGACUUGUCCAGCCUGCGGGCACUGCUGGGCCAGGCCCUCCCUCACCAGGCCCAGCUUGGGCAACUCAGGCCCCACCCUGGAGGCCCCCUCUGAGGAACCUCUUUGCAGUUACCAAGCCCCAGGUGAGGACAGGCAGUGGGUCCCCAUCCCCGAGGAGGAGUCGCUGCAGAGGGCCUGGCUGGACGCGGCUGCUGGCCCCAGGGGGCUGCAGCUGCAGUGCAGGGGAGCUGGGGGCCGGCCAGUCCUCUACCAGGUGGUGGCCCAGUACGGCUACUCAGCCCAGGGGCCAGAGGACCUGGGUUUCCAACAGGGGGACACGGUGGACGUCCUGUGUGAAGUGGACGAGGCAUGGCUGGAGGGCCACUGUGACGGCCGCAUCGGCAUCUUCCCCAAGUGCUUCGUGGUCCCCGCCGGCCCUCGGAUGUCAGGAGCCCCCGGCUGCCUGCCCCGAUCCCAGCAGGGAGAUCAGCCCUAGCAAUGCUGUGUACAUGAUGUUUUAAUAAAAACCAUGCUCACUG